rnacentral:rRNA from 1 species
CUCAGAAGUGGCAAGCGUUAUUUUUCAUAACUGGUUGUAAAAUGUGUGUAGACAUGUGUUUGUGGGAGUUUCUAAAAAAUUUUUAAUGGUAAAAAGCUAAAUAAACCCUCCAUUACGUGAUUUUAUUGAGAUUAUAACAAUUCCUUAUAUAGGGGCAAAAUGCGCACUUAAGAUGAGGAGGAAUGCCAAAAGUGAAAACCUAUUUUCAGGUAAAAUUACAGUUGAGACACGAAAUCAUAGGUAGCAAAAAGG